UGAACGCUGGCGGCAUGCCUAACACAUGCAAGUCGAACGCGAAAGCACCUUCGGGUGUGAGUAGAGUGGCGGACGGGUGAGUAAUACUUGGGAAUCUGCCUAGUAGUGGGGGAUAACUCGGGGAAACUCGAGCUAAUACCGCAUACGCCCUACGGGGGAAAGAUUUAUCGCUAUUAGAUGAGCCCAAGUCAGAUUAGCUAGUUGGUAGGGUAAAGGCCUACCAAGGCAACGAUCUGUAGCUGGUCUGAGAGGACGAACAGCCACACUGGGACUGAGACACGGCCCAGACUCCUACGGGAGGCAGCAGUGGGGAAUAUUGGACAAUGGGCGAAAGCCUGAUCCAGCAAUGCCGCGUGUGUGAAGAAGGCCUGCGGGUUGUAAAGCACUUUCAGUUGGGAAGAUUAUGACGUUACCAACAGAAGAAGCACCGGCUAACUCC
rnacentral:rRNA from 1 species